rnacentral:misc_RNA from 1 species
GAUGAAGAACGCAGCGAAAUGCGAUAAGUAGUGUGAAUUGCAGAAUUCAGUGAAUCAUCGAAUCUUUGAACGCACAUUGCGCCCUUUGGUAUUCCUUAGGGCAUGCCUGUUCGAGCGUCAUUUAAACCUUCAAGCUAAGCUUGGUGUUGGGUGACUGUCCGCUUCACGGCGGACUCGCCUCAAAAUUAUUGGCGGCCGUUACAUUGGCUUCGAGCGCAGCAGAAACGCGAACUCGGGCCCGUCGUAUUGGCUCCCAGAAGCUAUCUUCACAAUUUUGACCUCGGAUCAGGUAGGGAUACCCGCUGAACUUAAGCAUAUCAAUAAGCGGAGGA